ACUUUUAAAGGAAAAAAGCUAUCCAUUGUCCUUGGGAGCCACCAUACU
rnacentral:tRNA from 1 species